rnacentral:rRNA from 1 species
CGGGGAUGCUUACACAUGCAAGUCGAGCGAUGAAGAUCCUUCGCUGGGGGAUUAUUGGCGAACGGGUGAAUAGCUGAUGGGCAAUCUGCCCUUCUGUCUGUGACAAGGCCUGAACUCCGGGUCUAAUACCGGAUAACACUCUGUCCCUCUUGGGGCGGGGUUAAAAGCUCCGGCGGUGAAUGAUGAUGCCGCUUCCUAUCGGCUUGUUGGUGGGGUAAUGGCCUAGCGAGGCAACGACUGGUAGCCGGCCUGAUAGGGCGACCAGCCGCACUGGGACUGAGACACGGUCCAAACUCCUACCGGACGCAACUCCGGGGAAUAUUGCACAAUGGGAAACUUCCUGAUGGGACGACGCCCCGAGAGGGAUGACCGCCUUCAGGGUGUAAACCUCUUUCGUCAGGGAACACUGUAAAGUGACGGUACCUGCUGAAAAAGCGCCAGCUAACUACCUGCCCGGUACCGCGGUAAUACGCCAGGCGCAAGCGUUGUCCGGAAUUAUUGGGCGUAAAGAGCUCGUAGGCGGCUUGUCACAAUUAUAUGUGAAAGCUCGGGGCUUAACCCCGACUCUGCAUUCGAUACGGGCUCCUAGAGUGUGGUAGGGGAGAUCGGAAUUCCUGGUGUACUUGUGAAAUGCGCAGAUAUCAGGAAUAACAUGUGUGGCGAAGGCGGAUCUCUAGAUCAUUACUGACACUGAUGAGCGAAGGCACGUUGAGCUAACAGGAUGACAUACCCUGGCAAUCCACGCCGUAAACGUUGGGAUCUAGGAGUUGGCUACAUUACACCUCAUCCGAUCAGCGCCUAACGCAUUAGGGUCUCCGCCUGGGGAGGACGGACGCAACGCUAUAACUCCUCCGACUGGAGAGUAGCCCCCCCAAGCUGAGGAUCAUGUGAAUUGAUUCGACGCAACGCGAACAACCGUAACCUGUGCUUGACAUAUACCGGACAGCAUCAACAUGGUGCGCCCCUUGUGCCUCGUAUACACGUGGAGAUAGGGUGUCUUCUUCUCGAGUCGAGAGAUGUGGGUUCAUGCUUGCACCAGCUCAUGUCUUGUUCUGUGUUGCUAGAUGCCCUUCGGGCUGAUCGCGUACUCCUAGAUACUGC